rnacentral:rRNA from 1 species
CCUACGGGUGGCAGCAGUGAGGAAUAUUGGUCAAUGGGCGCAAGCCUGAACCAGCCAAGUCGCGUGAGGGAUGACGGUCCUAUGGAUUGUAAACCUCUUUUGUCGGGGAGCAAGGCCGGCUACGUGUAGCCGGACUGAGAGUACCUGAAGAAAAAGCAUCGGCUAACUCCGUGCCAGCAGCCGCGGUAAUACGGAGGAUGCGAGCGUUAUCCGGAUUGAUUGGGUUUAAAGGGUGCGUAGGCGGAAUGCCAAGUCAGCGGUAAAAUCGCGGGACUCAACCUCGCUCCGCCGUUGCAACUGGCGUUCUUGAGUGGGCGAGAAGUAUGCGGAAUGCGUGGUGUAGCGGUGAAAUGCAUAGAUAUCACGCAGAACUCCGAUUGCGAAGGCAGCAUACCGGCGCCCAACUGACGCUGAAGCACGAAAGCGUGGGUAUCGAACAGGAUUAGAUACCCGUGUAGUC